UCCAGAACCAGUGGGUGUGGGGGCAACUUACAGAGCAGCUGUUCACGAGGCCCAAGACAACCUUGGGGGCUGCAGGGGGAAGGAGGCGCCCUCAUCCCGCCUCUGCAGAUCCAUCCUGCAUCCUACUGCCUCCCGAUGAAGGAAGGCUUUCCCACUCGCCCUGGCCUCCUUUCUGAAUUUCCGGAGCAUGAACCAGUCAUUGCCUGAAGCUACCAAGAAAGGAAAGCAGCCCCUGAUGGCCGGCCACAGCUGGACCCUGGUGGUCUCCUGCUGAACAUAAUGUCAGCAUUAUACAAGGCCACUCUCCGGCCACUCUGUAGCAUGUGUGAACACAGGUAAGGCAUGGACAUUGUCCGAACCAUGGAGAAGACCAAGCGUCUCCCUUUCCUGGCUCCCUUCAUUGCUCCUGCCUUCUAGACAAGGGUCACUGUGGCUCUCGUAGAAGUACCUGCCUCCCAAGAGCACCCAGCCGAGCAGGGCCCUGCUUCCUUCAACCCUUCCCCAAAUCACCCAAUGCCAACCUGAUCCUUUACAUCCUUUCCAACUUGCUCUUCCUGAGAUGCCCACAGCUCCCUGUGGUCGCACCCCUUGC